AUGAUGAACACACUUUAAUUCUGUGCUAUACUUCCAGAUGGCCACUUGAGGGAGACAGACUCGGAAUAUGUGCACUGGCUGGUAGGUAACAUUCCUGGUAACGCAGUAUUUUCUGGAGAAGAGCUGUGUCACUACUUCCCCGCAUUUCCUGCUAAAGGCACAGGAUACCACAGAUACAUAUUCAUCCUGUUCAAGCAAGAGCAACGCAUUGAUUUCAAGGAUGAGUUGCGUCCAAACACUUGUCACAGCUUGAAGUUAAGAACAUUCAAGACUUUGGAUUUCUACAGAAAGUACGAGGACAAGAUCACCCCAGCAGGCCUGGCCUUCUUCCAGUGUGCAUGGGACGACAGCGUGACCAAUGUGUUCCACAAUAUACUCCGUAAGUGCAAAGUGCCGA